AUGGAUCACGUGGCCCUCAUCUCUGCUCCUCUGGGACCGCACCUGCUGUUUGAAAACUUUGAGGAAACCGUCAGACACAAUCAUCUUUUCUUUGUCUCAGAACCACGGAUCGUCUCACCAAACAUCACAUUGUACCCUGUCUGGAAAGGUAAACUGGGAAACUCAGCAGUCAGACUGAUUUGCACUGUCAGUGGCUUCUAUCCAGAAAAACUGAGUGUGGAGUGGCAACACGACCAACGACCCCUGAAUAUUGUUCAAAACAAACUAAAGCUGCAAAGUAUGGAAGGGAGAGAAAAUACCUUCAGCCUCAGCAGUGAGAUUGAGCCAAAUAUCACAGAGUGGACAACAGGCAGCAGUUUCACAUGCAAGGCCACUCAUGAAGGAAGUGAAUAUGAAAAAACAAGUAUUUGUGAGAUGCAUGCAAGUACUCCACCCUCUAUGAUCCUGGACACUCCCAGCUUCAAGACUGUGAUGACGGCUCCCUCUGAUGUGAAAGCCACAUGCUUGAUCAGCACUGUUUUUGAUGCCAAGGUGACCUGGCUUUUGAACGAACAAGUUUCACCAAGUAACACUGUUUCUAAAUCUGAAAACACAAGUUAUGUAACAAGUGAAGUAACUGUUCCUUCAACAAAGUGGAAGCAGCUGAAACAUGUUACAUGCAGAGCUGAACAUGCAUGUUUUUCAUCUGUGGAAAAGACCAAAAACAUCACAGAGCCUGAAGUUCCUGCUCCAGUGGUGAUGAUAAGCAGAUCUCUUCCAGAUCUUCUCAAGGGAAACAGUACUGUGCUUAAGUGUGAAAUCACACAACUUUCCUCACAUGAUCUCUCCAUCACAAUUCAGACAAAUGGAGUUGACAUCUCUGACAAUCAAUAUGUUGAUUUUCACAAAGCCUCAGACAUUCAUUCAGUGACCAAACACUUCAAUGUUCCUGAAAAAUACUGGAAAAAAGACCAAAGUUUCACUUGCAAGGUGAAUCAAGGUUUUUCCAGCAGCAGCUCAUCCCAAUCUAUUGGCAAGAUUUUUGUGGAUCCAUCAGUGGAACUUCUUCUGAUCCUCAGUCAGGACUCUGAUUCACAAACACUCUCAUGCUCUGGAAGUGGCUUCGACCCUCAAAUCAAAUGGUUGCCUGAGCUCAAGAUCAGCUCUUCCUCAACAAAAGGCACCAUCACCAUGAGUGCAGAUGGGCGUGUAGCAGUGACCAGUCAACUUCAAGUUCCUCGAUCAGACUGGCAAAGUGGGAACGUCUUCACUUGUGAAGUCUCUGACAAGUUUCUCAACACAGCAGUCAACAAGAGUAUCAGUGUCUGCUCAGUUACUCCAGCAUCCUCUCAGAUUGCUGAGGUUUAUGUUCAUGGACCACCACUGCAGCAGCUUUGGAGCAAAGAAAAGACUGACGAAUAUCACCUGCCUUCUGGUUGGUCACCACCUUAAAGACUUCUCCAUCAGCUGGAAGGUUGACAAUAGCGAGUAUUUAGGACAAAAUUUUCAUCAACAGCAGCCAAAGAGCCACAGCAAUGGGACAGAGACGAUGCAGAGCUUCUUUGGUGUGUCAGCAGAGGAUUGGCAUGCAUAUAAACAAGUGUCUUGUGAGGGAAAACAUCAAUGUUCCAACAAAGGCUACGAGGCCCAAAUCAGCAAAAGCAGAGAUCUGCUCCCACCAACAGUGAAGAUAAUUCAACCAACCGCCUCUGAGAUGUCAGUGUCAGAUAUCUUCACGGCUGUUUGCCAAGUUUCUGGAUUUUCCCCAUCCAAUAUAUUUGUCUACUGGGAGGAGAAUGGAAAGGAACUUCCAUCCUCUCGGUACGUCAAUGGUCCAGUGUGGAAGUACACGAGGAGCAGCUCUUUCUCCAUGAGCAGUAAAUUAAACGUAUCCAAAAGUCUGGACACACCAGUAUAUUCUUGUGUUGUCAUCCAUGAAUCAUCUGAAACACCUUUUCGAAGCACCAUGAAGGAUGUUCUGGCUCCAGUGGCCCUCAGUGAACCUUCAGUCCUCUUGCUUCAGAGUCCUAAUGAACUUGUGUGCCUCGCCUUUGACUUCACUCCUGAAGCCAUCAACAUCACCUGGUUUCGUGAUGGAACCUCAGAAUUGCGGGAUUACAAUACCAGUGAGCCACAAAGAGGUGCAGAUGGAAAGUUUAGCAUUCGGAGCCACCUCCGUCUGUCUCUAAUCGACUUCUAACCAGGAGUGGUGUUCACCUGCAAGGUGACCCAUGCAAGCUUUACAAAGCUCCUCAAUCUAUCCAGACCAGAUACGCUGGAGCAGUGUGAUUUUUUAGAUCACAUCGUCCAUGCUGAAGUGAGCCAAGAUAUAGGCGUGGAAACUGUGCACAUGGCCUUCACCUUCCUCAUCCUGUUCCUUCUAUCUGUUAUCUAUGGUGUUUUUGCUACCAUGUUUAAGACCAAAUUAUGA